AUUGAACGCUGGCGGCAGGCCUAACACAUGCAAGUCGAACGAGUGGCGGACGGGUGAGUAAUGUCUGGGAAACUGCCCGAUGGAGGGGGAUAACUACUGGAAACGGUAGCUAAUACCGCAUACCAUCGGAUGUGCCCAGAUGGGAUUAGCUAGUAGGGGGGGUAACGGCUCACCUAGGCGACGAUCCCUAGCUGGUCUGCGAGGAUGACCAGCAACACUGGAACUGAGACACGGUCCAGACUCCUACGGUAGGCAGAAGUGGGGAAUAUUGCACAAGGGGCGCAAGCCGUAUGCAGCCAUGCCGGGGGUAUGAAGAAGGCCUGCGGGUGGUAAAGUACUUUCAGCGAGUAGGCGUUACUCGCAGAAGAAUCACCGGCUAACUCCGUGCCAGCCGCCGCGGUAAUUC
rnacentral:rRNA from 1 species